rnacentral:lncRNA from 1 species
UUAAAAUAUUUUAACAUAUUUACGGAACACCCUGUUACGUAAAUAAACUGACUAGCGCCGUACAUAAACUGACUUUCCCCAGGGAAAUUUAUUUUCAAUUACCUUUAAGAAUUAGGCAGUUCGGGAAUUAGUUGAAUAGUGAAAAAUGUUAGUUUUAAAUGUACGAAAAAGGAACUUGAGUUUGAUUGUGGUUCUUGCCUAGUUUUGGACGUAUUUUCGAUAUUUUUUUCCUGGCGUUUACUUUUGAAGUUUUAGGCAGUAUAAUACUGAACCGUCUUCACUUCUCAAUGCAUCUUAUCUCAAUGCAUCUUAUCCUUUGCAAUUCCUAAUAUAGAAACGAUAAAUAUUUUCUGCGUUUUGCAUUAUUACAUCUUACUUAAUAAAAUCCAUAGUUUAUUUUGAAAUCCCUUUUCCUUCUAUGGUAAGAAUAAAUAAAGUAAGGAAAUUUACAAAAUUAAAGAUUAGUACCAAAACUGAUCAUUGAUUCAAAGAGUCAUUUCAACAAAAAAAUAUAUAAUGAUUUUGAUUAUGUCUAGAAGUCUGGACCAAAUUUAAGGUGCCUUAUUCAACCUGAAACAUGCCGAGCAGUUUUUAUGCAGCAGCAACAUUUCAGACUUUUCAACUUUGACUUUCUGAUUUUGAGUUUAAAAAUGGCGAUAGUAAGUUUAUUAUGCGCCUUGAACAACCUGUUCUUGGUUCGGACUAAGUGGACAUAUGUUCAAUGCGGCUUCGAAAAUCCAGUCAGUUAUUCGACUUGUUUCAUAUCAAAUGGAAGUAUGAUGAAGUUCACAAUAGUUAUUUUUUGCUUCACAGUGUUUAUUAUGCAAACAGACGGAAGAAAGACCAGACAUAGAACUACCACCGAAAGAAAUCCUUUACCAGUAAUAACAACCACCAAUGGAAAUAGAGAAUUACUUGUUGGCAUCAACCCUAUGUCCUGCCGUAUAGUUAAUCAGCUACGAGACAGCAGUGGGAGGUGUCGAGAAAUCGCUAAGUAGUUCAAUAAAAUGCGGACAAUAUGGAAUUGUUGGAAUUUACAUAAAAAUUGAGAUAAGACGUAUAUCAGUUAAAUCCUAAUAAUUACAUAUUUACCUAAUGCCUAUGAAAGUUAAUGAAAAUGUUUCUUACUUAUAACCAUUUUUAACAUUGAUAACUGCAUCCCGGUUGGUUGUAUCAAUUUCGCUAAUAAUUAAAAUUUCCUUCUGGACGUUAUUAAAUAAAAUUUUCCACUUAUUCAAUAAAUCCUUUA